AUACAGGGGUUGCGAGCGUUAAUCGGAAUUACUGGGCGUAAAGAGUACGUAGGCGGUUGCUUAAGUCAGAUGUGAAAGCCCCGGGCUCAACCUGGGAACUGCAUUUGAAACUGAGUGACUAGAGUUUAAGAGAGGGGAGUAGAAUUCCGGGUGUAGCGGUGAAAUGCGUAGAGAUCCGGAGGAAUACCAGUGGCGAAGGCGGCUCCCUGGCUUAAAACUGACGCUGAGGUAUGAAAGCGUGGGUAGCAAACAGGAUUAGAUACCCUUGUAGUCC
rnacentral:rRNA from 1 species